rnacentral:tRNA from 1 species
AGCUUUAUAUUCAUAGAAAAAAUGAUUGUAGAAUGCAAUUCUAUAGGUGUAGAAGACUACUAAGGCUU